AACGCGAAGAACCUUACCUGGCCUUGACAUGCCUGGAAGUCUGCAGAGAUGCGGAUGUGCCUUCGGGAACCAGGACACAGGUGCUGCAUGGCUGUCGUCAGCUCGUGUCGUGAGAUGUUGGGUUAAGUCCCGCAACGAGCGCAACCCUUGUCCUUAGUUGCCAGCAUUAAGUUGGGAACUCUAAGGAGACCGCCGGUGACAAACCGGAGGAAGGUGGGGAUGACGUCAAGUCAUCAUGGCCUUUAUGGCCAGGGCUACACACGUGCUACAAUGGUAGAAACAGAGGGAAGCCAACGCGCGAGCGGGAGCCAAUCCCAGAAAAUCUAUCGUAGUCCGGAUCGGAGUCUGCAACUCGACUCCGUGAAGUCGGAAUCGCUAGUAAUCGCAGAUCAGCAUUGCUGCGGUGAAUACGUUCCCGGGCCUUGUA
rnacentral:rRNA from 1 species